GUGCACCAGGCGAGAAUCUUCCACAAUGGGGGAAACCCUGAUGGAGCGACGCCGCGUGCGGGAUGAAGGCCCUAUGGGUUGUAAACCGCUGUUCAGUGGAAAGAACAUCCUCCGGGCUGAAUAGGUCGGAGGCCUGACGUUACCACUGCAGAAAGUCCCGGCCAACUCCGUGCCCAGCAGCCCGCGGGUAAUACGGGGGGGG
rnacentral:rRNA from 1 species